rnacentral:rRNA from 1 species
AGAGUUUGAUCCUGGCUCAGGAUGAACGCUGGCGGCGUGCCUAACACAUGCAAGUCGAACGGAGAUUACAGACGGAAGUUUUCGGAUGGAAGACUGUAAUUCUUAGUGGCGGACGGGUGAGUAACGCGUGGGCAACCUGCCCUAUACAGGGGGAUAGCAGCUGGAAACGGCUGGUAAGACCGCAUAAGUCGGCGAGACCGCAUGGUUUUGUCGGGAAAUGAGCAAUCAGGUAUAGGAUGGGCCCGCGUCCGAUUAGCCAGUUGGCAGGGUAAAAGCCUACCAAAGCAACGAUCGGUAGCCGGACUGAGAGGUCGGACGGCCACAUUGGGACUGAGACACGGCCCAAACUCCUACGGGAGGCAGCAGUGGGGAAUAUUGCACAAUGGGGGAAACCCUGAUGCAGCGACGCCGCGUGAGUGAAGAAGUAUUUCGGUAUGUAAAGCUCUAUCAGCAGGGAAGAUAAUGACAGUACCUGACUAAGAAGCCCCGGCUAACUACGUGCCAGCAGCCGCGGUAAUACGUAGGGGGCAAGCGUUAUCCGGAUUUACUGGGUGUAAAGGGAGCGCAGGCGGUUUGGCAAGUUGAGAGUGGAAGCAGGGGGCUCAACCCCCUGACUGCUCCCAAAACUGUUAAACUUGAGUAUGGGAGAGGCAGGCGGAAUUCCUAGUGUAGCGGUGAAAUGCUUAGAUAUUAGGAAGAACACCGGUGGCGAAGGCGGCCUGCUGGACCAAAACUGACGCUGAGGCUCGAAAGCGUGGGUAGCAAACAGGAUUAGAUACCCUGGUAGUCCACGCUGUAAACGAUGAAUACUAGGUGUCGGGGUGCAAAGCAUCUCGGUGCCGUCGCUAACGCAAUAAGUAUUCCACCUGGGGAGUACGUUCGCAAGAAUGAAACUCAAAGGAAUUGACGGGGACCCGCACAAGCGGUGGAGCAUGU